rnacentral:rRNA from 1 species
ACUGAACGCUGGCGGCAUGCUUUACACAUGCAAGUCGAACGGUAACAGGCCGCAAGGUGCUGACGAGUGGCGAACGGGUGAGUAAUGCAUCGGAACGUGCCCAGUCGUGGGGGAUAACUACUCGAAAGAGUAGCUAAUCCCGCAUACGAUCUAUGGAUGAAAGCGGGGGACCGUAAGGCCUCGCGCGAUUGGAGCGGCCGAUGUCAGAUUAGGUAGUUGGUGGGGUAAAGGCUCACCAAGCCAACGAUCUGUAGCUGGUCUGAGAGGACGACCAGCCACACUGGGACUGAGACACGGCCCAGACUCCUACGGGAGGCAGCAGUGGGGAAUUUUGGACAAUGGGCGCAAGCCUGAUCCAGCAAUGCCGCGUGCAGGAAGAAGGCCUUCGGGUUGUAAACUGCUUUUGUACGGAACGAAACGGCUCUGGUUAAUACCCGGGGCUAAUGACGGUACCGUAAGAAUAAGCACCGGCUAACUACGUG